rnacentral:rRNA from 1 species
AUUGAACGCUGGCGGCAGGCCUAACACAUGCAAGUCGAACGGUAACAGGAAGCAGCUUGCUGCUUUGCUGACGAGUGGCGGACGGGUGAGUAAUGUCUGGGAAACUGCCUGAUGGUGGGGGAUAACUACUGGAAACGGUAGCUAAUACCGCAUAACGUCGCAAGACCAAAGAGGGGGACCUUCGGGCCUCUUGCCAUCGGAUGUGCCCAGAUGGGAUUAGCUAGUAGGUGGGGUAACGGCUCACCUAGGCGACGAUCCCUAGCUGGUCUGAGAGGAUGACCAGCCACACUGGAACUGAGACACGGUCCAGACUCCUACGGGAGGCAGCAGUGGGGAAUAUUGCACAAUGGGCGCAAGCCUGAUGCAGCCAUGCCGCGUGUAUGAAGAAGGCCUUCGGGUUGUAAAGUACUUUCAGCGGGGAGGAAGGGAGUAAAGUUAAUACCUUUGCUCAUUGACGUUACCCGCAGAAGAAGCACCGGCUAACUCCGUG